CAAACCAGUCCUCAUGGCCCACCAACAGUCCAGGAUUUAUGUAUUUCCCUUUUUUAUGGAGAUACUGGCAAAACCUGUACUGUUGGUGGGCCAUGAGGACUGGUUU